UUUCUGUGUGCUCUGGCUAGCUGUAUGUUGUGUUGUGUUGUUCAGUGGAGUCUCCCAGAUGCCUCUGUCAUGUUUAUCUUUAUGUAUGUCCUUCUGGGUGUGUGCAUGUAUGUUUCAGCAUGUUCGUGUUCAUGUUGAUUAACUUAUUAUGCACCAGUCUUUGUGGGCUAUGUGUUUGUGUGUAAUAAGUGGGUAUCCAGUUAAUGUCUGCAUGUGCACAUUUGUGUGAGCAGCUGAUAUGGGGUGUGUUUCUAGACAGGUGUGCCUGAAUGCUCACCAGUCUCUGCCUCUGUGUACAUAGCUUAAGUACCCAUGUUUUGGGAGAUCGUGUUUGGGGGAUGUCUACAGUGUGUAUUUUGUGUCCAAUCUGGAGCAUGACUGUGCUUCUACAUUGGUCUGUAUGAAAGCACAAGUGGGUGACUAUGUAUAAGUGUAUGGAUGUCUGUGUGUGUGCACAUGUGUGUGCAUCUGUGUGUGUUCUUGUGUAUAUAUGGAACCACGUGGAACAUGUUGUGCACGGGUGAACAUCUGAUAUCUGCCUGUGCUUGUCUGUGUUUGGAUUGAAAUGUAAUCCUGGCCUGGCUUCAUUUCUCGUUUUGAAAAAACAAAUAAUUCCUGUGUUUUUAAAGUAUUUACCUCCCUCAGUUUUCACGAGCAGGUUGAAAAGCCUCCCUGGGACAGGUGUGUCCCAGAGCCUUCCCAGGGCUGAUUACUUCCCACUGGAUACAUUUAAAUAUCCUCCCAGAAAAUUCUCAUUCCCACGUAUCACCACCCACCUCCCAAGCCAUUUAACAGAAUCAUUUACCCAGUGUUCCCUGAUUCAUGUCAGCUCUGAGCUGAGUGGUACCAAGUGACCAGAAAGCCCUGGGCCCUGCCUCACUCAGGUCUCACUCCUAAGGGGAAGGCAGACCCACAGCUCAGAAUGGACUGUGCUGGGGUGGGAAGACACAGGCAGAGGGGCCCAGACAGGAUGGGGAGAGCACAGGUGUCUGUAGGAACCCAGAAACAGCACCUGACUCGCCCUCAUGGGCUUAGGAUAGGCUGUUCGUAGGGAUUUUGUGUAGAAGGAUAGGGAAGAUUGGGAGGUUGUAUUCCAUGCAGAAGAACCAGUGUGUGUGAGGGCCUGGGUGUGUGGCUUGGUGGAAUUGGGCAUUAGAGAUCUUGGCUCGUGUGUGUGGAGAGAGCUAGGGCCACCGGCAGGAGCCAGAACGCAUAGAGUCUAAUUCAACUCAGUGAGAAGUGUAGACUUUGUCUUGUGGCGGUGGGGAGCCUCGGAAAGAUUUCAAUCUGGGGGACAAAAUGGGUGCGUGAAGCCGCAUGGAGGCUGCGGCAUAUAGGAGCCAAUCAUGGCGCAGCAAGGAAUUUCCAAGCUGCAGCAGCCGGCUCUUCCCCGCUCCCCACCCGGGAAGAAGAACGCCACUGCGAGAGCCCAAAUCCAAACCUGUGCCCGGAAGCAAUUUGAGACCAAGACUCUCCCCAGGGCCAUCUGGGGCUGCCCAGGAGCUACAGCCAACAAAAGACGCUACCAGUGUCCCUGAUGUUUGGUCAUUUCCAAGGCCAGUAACUACAAUGGUUCUCCCACACCUGGAAGCUAAUGAGUAAUGAGCACUAUUAAGGCUUAUUUCAAAUGUGAAAAACCUUGAGAUGAUGUACUAAAUUGUUCAGAAGGUUGUUUUCUUAGUGCCUGCUGGAAUACUACAGGAUUUUCUUUAGCCAUCCCGAGUUCCAGCCUUCGUCCCAGUGCCAGUGAAGAGGAAUGUGGAAGAAUUUCCAUUGUUGCUGAGAACCGGAGGAGACUUCAGCUGAGAACCGACGAGACUUCGGAUCAAGCUAGAUGCCUGUAGAACUUACCUGGACUGUGAUUUAAGCUAGCUGUCUGCAGAACUUACCUGGACUGUGAUUCAAGCUAGCUUCCUGCAGAGCUUACCUGGACUGUGAUUUACCUGGACCGUGAGUUAAUCUAUUGAGACACUGCUUUACCUGGACUGAGACAACAAACUGUAAUCCACAACAAAUUUUAACUCGAUAUCUUUGCUAAUGGUGUCAUUGCUGGUAUAAUUUUUCCAAGGGCUUCUUGCAUGGAGCCAUCAAUUGGCUUGGUAUUGUGACAUUCUGUAUCCUCCCCUUCUGCUUGUAGCAGAUUAUUUAUGGUGUUUCUGUAAAAACCACUAUGGUCGUUAUUUAAAUCAAACAAAAGGGGGAAAUGUUAGAGUCUGUAAACAAGUUAGGAUGGCACCUGGCAUUUUGCCAGAGAAAUGUUAGAGUCUGUAAACAAGUCUGGAUGGCGCCUGGCAAAAUGCCAGAGGGAGUGGUUUGUGAAAUAAUGCCAGUGAGCCAUUAAGUGUGGAGAUUCCUGAUUGGUUGACUGCUGUAUCUAGUUUAUGCUAAUUAGAUAAGCUGUGUGGAAUGUAUAAAUACUGCUCCUGUCCUGCAAUAAACGGCUCCUACUCCUGCUG